rnacentral:snRNA from 1 species
AGAUAUAAGGGUGAUCUGGUUGCAACAUCUGUUGCCUCAUUGAUCGCCAAGGUUGACUUGGAUGAUCUAGUUGUAGGGAUGGGUGUCUCAUUUCUCCCUCACUCUUCUCUGUAAGUCCCUCUCAAAGAUGCUCACUUGCUGGAACAGAGAAAAACCAUAUCUAGUGUAUAGAGUAGCUGAGCUGCUCUGCUAUAACCAUCAAAUAAGCUCUCAUUAUUAAUAUUUUAGUAGCAAAAACUUCCUUGAAAUCUUUCAUUUUCUGGAAUUUUUCA